rnacentral:rRNA from 1 species
ACUGAACGCUGGCGGCAUGCUUUACACAUGCAAGUCGAACGGCAGCACGGGGGCAACCCUGGUGGCGAGUGGCGAACGGGUGAGUAAUAUAUCGGAACGUACCCGGAAAUGGGGGAUAACGUAGCGAAAGUUACGCUAAUACCGCAUAUGCCCUAAGGGGGAAAGCGGGGGAUUCGCAAGAACCUCGCGUUUUCGGAGCGGCCGAUAUCGGAUUAGCUAGUAGGUGAGGUAAAGGCUCACCUAGGCGACGAUCCGUAGCUGGUCUGAGAGGACGACCAGCCACACUGGAACUGAGACACGGUCCAGACUCCUACGGGAGGCAGCAGUGGGGAAUUUUGGACAAUGGGCGCAAGCCUGAUCCAGCCAUGCCGCGUGAGUGAAGAAGGCCUC